AGAAGAUGAACAAAGUUCUGGGUUUCUUUUCCUCUUGUUCAAAGGAGAAAGAAAUUAACUUUCAAAUCAUUUUUUCUUCUUCUUUCUUUCUUAAAAAAUUGGAUGAAGAUAUGGAUGAUUCUCCUUAAAGCUUCUUAUGCGAUUUUUAUCUAUUUAUGAUUUUCAGGUACGAAUUUUUUUUCGUCUUUCUUGAACUUUUUAAUACUAUCAACACAAUUAAAUUAACAAAAACAUAUUACAUAUAUAUAUUUGACAAUAGAUCUCUAUGGAUCUUCUUGCUUUGCAUGUCACUUGUAAUGUCAAAAUACAAAAAAAAAAUUAGUUGCACUGAUUUUUAAUGCUUCAAAUAUCUGUUUGUUUGAUUGUUGACUCUGCAUGCAAGCUUCAGAUUGUGAAUUCAGAUUUUGAGUCAAAAAUUGAGGAAAAAUAUUGGAUGAAUCUCCAAUAUUAAAUUUGAAUGCAAUAUUUCUUGAAAAUACCAAUACUAAUAUCUUAUAUUGGCAGGAACUUUCUACCAAGCAUGAAGAUCAUUUAUGACAACAAUGAAUGAUACAUAGAUAAUUGUGUCACACAAUUUUGAGCAUUUUGCACAAGAUAAUGCAAUAUUUUGCUUUCAAGAUGUGUAUAAAAUAUAUUUAUCUAUAUGUAUAAUGAGGAUCAUUAAUAAACAACUUCUCAUUCUAUUUAAAAUUUUAGUAAGAAAAUAUUAUUGUACAAAUAUAAAGAAUAUUGAGAACAAAGAGAGUAAAAGAAAUAAGUUCAUAGAUCUAUAUAUUUUGUAACUUUACUUGAACAAAAUUUGAACGUCUCUAGAGAGUAAAAGAUCAACAAUGGUGUAUUUUUUAUUUAGAGCAACAAUGAUGUAUUUUUGUUUUAGAGCUUUUACUUUGUUUGGUUUAGAUAUGAAAGGCAAAGAUCCCAAUUAAGGAGGGAAAAUAGUA
rnacentral:lncRNA from 1 species